UACAGAGGGUGCGAGCGUUGUUCGGAAUUAUUGGGCGUAAAGGGCGCGUAGGCGGCGCCACAAGUCACUUGUGAAAACUCUGGGCUCAACUCAGAGCCUGCAAGCGAAACUGUGGUGCUGGAGUAUGGGAGAGGUGCGUGGAAUUCCCGGUGUAGCGGUGAAAUGCGUAGAUAUUCGGAAGAACACCAGUGGCGAAGGCGGCUCACUGGACUGGUAUUGACGCUGAGGUGCGAAAGCGUGGGGAGCAAACAGG
rnacentral:rRNA from 1 species